rnacentral:sRNA from 1 species
GAUGAAAGUCCUUUUGAAGGCAAAGAGGCAACGAAGGCGUCAAGGGGGUCAACAAGGGUUCGAGAAGGAGGUCGGGCACGAGUGUCUAUGAAAGAGUGGCCAGGGCUUCAGCAGCAGCUUUGCUCCAAACCUCAGGGGACGUGCUCUUGGCACCCUCUGUCGCAGCAUCUCUCAAGGAUUUACCCAGUCCCGCAAAGAAUAUACUAAGACUAUAUAAGCUUACGGACCUUCUUCGCUUUACUGCAACUUACGAGUAAAGGGCACCCGAAGUGCCGCCCAUGUCCUCCUCGACGAUUUCGGCAAUAACUUUGACAUCCUGCACAACAUUCUCGCCCUUCAAUCGGCCCUCCUCAAUCGCCUUCAACACACCCUUGGCGCCGGCCUCCAAAGUGAGACCUGCAUCCCCAUCUCCGGCGAUCUGGUCUUGUUCAGUGAGUUCAGGUUCGGCGGCAAUAAGAGCCUUGCACGCCCGAGCGAUAGCAGCAAGGAAGCCUUUUGCAUCAGUGGCUGUACUCUAAUCAGUAUACGUCUUGGUUUCAGCCAUAUUACUUACAGGGUAAAACAGCGUUGUCUUUUUGCACCGGGAUAGACGCCUCUUCAGCCUUCACAUCAAGCGUUCCGGGUUCCCUACCCGCAUGCCACUUCCAUCCUGGAGCACUAGCCGGAGUGUCAAGGUACUCAAGGAUCUCAUCGGCGGAGUAAGGUGCUUUUUCGGAAGCAGGAGGGAGGAGAAGAAGAGUAAGGGAGAAACCAGGCAUGUUGAGAGAUGUCAUCAAACCACCUCUACAAGAUAGAGCUAUGAACGUACCUUCAUUUAGCCAUCUCCUUUGAAAGGCACAAACGACUUGUCUUUGUCGGUAGUAUCGGUGAUUUGAGUGAGCAUUUUUCCCACCAGCUCAGACGCAGUCGUCAUGUCAAGCUUGUAAGUGCCAGCUUCGUUGUGAAUACCCAUGCCCUAGAUUGGAGUGGGAUGUGAGAAUAUGCGGACGAGGCAAAUGCAAAUGGGAUUACAUACAACUUCAACUUCGUUGGCUCCAAGGUGGGAGUUACCAGCACGAGUUCCUGGGACCUACGGCCUACACCAAGAGUGCCUAGCCGAGAAGCCACAUAUUUGGCAAUGUUCUCUACAGAGUCAAGGUCGGCACCUUUAUCGGAAAGAGCAGCAGCCACUUUGUACACCAGAAUUGUACCGGCCAGCCCUCUUAAGUCUUUUGCUACAUCAUCCCCAACCAUCAAGACUCGAACAUCCCCAAGUUUUCCUGCACUCCUGUGCUGCUCGGCAGCCAAGCCAAAGUGCAAAGCGUCACCCGUGUAGUUCAUGACUACGACAAGACCACCCUUUUCACGAGUCACCAACUCGAGUCCUCGACGGAUCUGAGCGACGUUUGGAGAAGCAAAGAUGUUUCCACAGAUUGCUGCCGAUAACAGUCCAGGCCCCACAAAUGCGGCAUGGGCAGGUUCAUGACCGGAGCCGCCGCCUGAGAGAAGAGCGACUUUAGAUUCAGUCGGAGGUGUGUAGAUCACUGAGUAAAAGAUCAACAGUCUGUAUAUGGAAUAAACUUAUUCUACCCACCUCUUUGGGCCUCGUCAAGUUUCACAUUGGGAUUGAGAGUGGCCAGGCCCUUAAGUGAAUCGACCACAAGGGUCUGAGGAGUGUUGAGAAGGUGUUUCUCUGGAGGUGGUAUUCAAGUGGUAAUGCCGUCAGUUAGCACUGCCAGUUUUCACAAAUUUAUAGGACGAAGCACUUACGAGCGGGAGCCAUUAUUGGUAAGAGCUGAUAACCAGUAUAUUGGGCAAGAAAGCAGUCUAGGAAAUAGAAACUGCAGUAACGGAGUUAUUUUAUACGGGGGCGAAGAUGGGUGUAUUGACGGACUAUAGUCGGUACAAAUAGCAAUCACCAGAUGCGUUCAAGCCGCUUCGGGCCGAAGGCCAUUGAACGGUUCCCAGUUCCCACGACGGAGAAUAUAGGCAUUUACCGGCACAAAGCGGCAUUUUCGUCCGCUAUUUUCUUUUUUAAAAGUGCA